UACGUAGGGGGCAAGCGUUGUCCGGAUUUAUUGGGCGUAAAGAGCGCGUAGGCGGCCAGACAGGUCCGUUGUGAAAACUCGAGGCUCAACCUCGAGACGCCGAUGGAAACCGUCUGGCUAGAGUCCGGAAGAGGAGAGUGGAAUUCCUGGUGUAGCGGUGAAAUGCGCAGAUAUCAGGAAGAACACCCGUGGCUAAGGCGGCUCUCUAGUACGGUACUGACGCUGAGACGCGAAAGCGUGGGGAGCGAACAGG
rnacentral:rRNA from 1 species